rnacentral:tRNA from 1 species
GCCUGGGUGGCUCAGUUGGUUGAGCACCUGACUUCAACUCAGGUCAUGGUCUCGCAGUUCACGAGUUCGAGCCCCGCACUGGGCU